GAUGAACGCUGGCGGCGUGCCUAAUACAUGCAAGUCGAGCGAACAGACGAGGAGCUUGCUCCUCUGACGUUAGCGGCGGACGGGUGAGUAACACGUGGAUAACCUACCUAUAAGACUGGGAUAACUUCGGGAAACCGGAGCUAAUACCGGAUAAUAUAUUGAACCGCAUGGUUCAAUAGUGAAAGACGGUUUUGCUGUCCCUUAUAGAUGGAUCCGCGCCGCAUUAGCUAGUUGGUAAGGUAACGGCUUACAAAGGCAACGAUGCGUAGCCGACCGGAGAGGGGGAUCGGCCACUCUGGAACUGAGACACGGUCCAGACUCCUACGGGAGGCAGCAGUAGGGAAGCUUCCGCAAUGGGCGAAAGCCUGACGGAGCAACGCCGCGUGGGUGAUGAAGGUCUUCGGAUCGUAAAACUCUGUUAUUAGGGAAGAACAAAUGUGUAAGUAACUAUGCACGUCUUGACGGUACCUAAUCAGAAAGCCACGGCUAACUACGUG
rnacentral:rRNA from 1 species